rnacentral:rRNA from 1 species
AACGAACGCUGGCGGCAGGCUUAACACAUGCAAGUCGAACGCAUCCUUCGGGGUGAGUGGCAGACGGGUGAGUAACGCGUGGGAACCUACCCUGAUCUGCGGGAUAGCUCCGGGAAACUGGAAUUAAUACCGCAUAUGUCCUGAGGGACAAAGAUUCAUCGGUUCAGGAUGAGCCCGCGUCCGAUUAGCUAGUUGGUGGGGUAAAGGCCUACCAAGGCGACGAUCGGUAGCUGGUCUAAGAGGAUGAUCAGCCACAUUGGGACUGAGACACGGCCCAAACUCCUACGGGAGGCAGCAGUGGGGAAUAUUGGACAAUGGGCGCAAGCCUGAUCCAGCCAUGCCGCGUGAGUGAUGAAGGUCUUAGGAUUGUAAAGCUCUUUCACCGGGGACGACAAUGACGGUACCCGGAGAAGAAGCCCCGGCCAACUUCGUGCCAGCCGCCGCGGUAA